rnacentral:rRNA from 1 species
UUUAUGGAGAGUUUGAUCCUGGCUCAGGACGAACGCUGGCGGCGUGCCUAACACAUGCAAGUCAAGGGCUUAUUUGUAGCAAUACGGAUAGGCACUGGCGCACGGGUGAGUAACGCGUAGAUAAUCUGCCCCUAACACAGGCACAACAGUUCUAACGGACUGCUAAUACCUGAUGAGGAGGAAGCUCCAAAGAAUUUCGGUUAGGGAUGAGUCUGCGUCU